UACUUUGCGCAGUGGCAGUAUCGUAGCCAAUGAGGUUUAUCCGAGGCGCGAUUAUUGCUAAUUGAAACUUUUCCCAUUGUAAUAAAUUUCUACUCCAUUCCUUCCUAAGUAAAUGAUUAAUUUAUGUAAUUUAGUUAUAA